ACGAAAACACAGAAUCUAAAUUCAGAGCCACCAUAACAAAAUGCGACCGAUCUAAGAGACUUGACCGCAAUCGGCGAUCACAACUGGCUUUGAGGUCUUUCCAGAUCCAGAUCCAACUUUCUCGAUCUCCUUCACGAUGUCCAGACCUUCAACAACCUGACCGAACACGACGUGUUUCCCGUCAAGCCACUCGGUCUUAGCGGUGCAGAUGAAGAACUGAGAUCCGUUGGUUCCUGGACCAGCGUUUGCCAUGGAGAGGAUUCCAGGACCGGUGUGCUUCUUGAUGAAAUUCUCAUCAGCGAACUUUGAUCCGUAGAUCGAUUCACCUCCGGUACCGUUUCCGUUGGUGAAAUCACCUCCCUGGCACAUGAAUUGAGGGAUCACACGGUGGAAGGAAGAUCCUUUGAAGUGGAGUGGUUUGCCGCUGCGGCCAACUCCUUUUUCGCCGGUGCAGAGAGCACGGAAAUUCUCAGCGGUGCGGGGAGUGACAUCAGCGAAAAGCUCGAAGAUGAUGCGUCCAGCAGGGUUGCCACCGACGCUCAUGUCGAAGAAAACCUUAGGGUUAACCAUGGUUGCGGGGAG
rnacentral:lncRNA from 1 species